rnacentral:rRNA from 1 species
UACGUAGGGACGACACGUUGUCCGGAAUCAUUGGGCGUAAAGCGCGCGUAGGCGGCCCGGAAAGUCGGAUGUGAAAUCCCGGGGCUCAACCCCGGGCCUGCAUCCGAUACUCCCGGGCUGGAGGCAGGUAGGGGAGAGUCGGAAUUCCUGGUGGUAGCGGUGAAAUGCGCAGAUAUCAGGAGGAACACCGGUGGCGAAGGCGGAUCUCUGGGCCUUGCCUGACGCUGAGGCGCGAAAGCUAGGGGAGCGAACAGG